rnacentral:rRNA from 1 species
CAAUAGCGUAUAUUAAAGUUGUUGCAGUUAAAAAGCUCGUAGUUGGAUUUCUGCUGAGGACGAUCGGUCCGCCCACUGGGUGAGUAUCUGGCUCGGCCUUGGCAUCUUCUUGGAGAACGUUGCUGCACUUGACUGUGUGGCGCGGUAUCCAGGACUUUUACUUUGAGGAAAUUAGAGUGUUUCAAGCAGGCGCACGCCUUGAAUACAUUAGCAUGGAAUAAUGAGAUAGGACCUUGGUUCUAUUUUGUUGGUUUCUAGAGCUGAGGUAAUGAUUAAUAGGGAUAGUUGGGGGCAUUCGUAUUUAACUGUCAGAGGUGAGAUUCUUGGAUUUGUUAAAGACGGACUACUGCGAAAGCAUUUGCCAAGGAUGUUUUCAUUGA